UGUCUGUUGAUGCAGCCCAGGAUACUGCUGGCCUCCCAGGCUGCAAGAGCACACUAUUUGCACAUGUUAAGUCUUUUAUCUACCAGGACCCCUAAUUCCUUCUCAGUAGGGCUACUCCCAUUGAGUUCCCCCAGUUAGUAUAAAUAUCUAUGAUUGUCCUGACUCAAGUGCAACACUUUUCACUUGGCUUUGUUGAACUCCAUUAGGUCUUAAUGGGCGCACCUUUUUAGUUUGUCAAGGUCCCUUUGGAUGUCAUCACUUCCUUCUGCUUUAUCUACCAUAACACUCAUCUUGGUGUCAUCAGCAAACUUGCAGAGGUUACACUCAAUCCUAUAGUCUCUGUCAUUUAUAAAGAUGCUAAACCUUACCAGUUCCAAGAUGGACCCCGGGGGACACCAAUCCAUUAAGAAAAAUUGAUAUCAGUCUGUUAGUCAUCAGAGAUAAUUAGUGUUAAUAUAACAUGAACUAUUAUCCCUAGCACUCAGAACAAAAUGUGCUCAGGAAAACCUUAUUCCGGAUUUAGAGAAAGUUAGGAAAUGAGGUGUGAAUGUGAAUUUUUACCAGGUGCUCUCUAUAGUUAGAAAAAAAAUAUAUAUGAGGAGGUGGAACAAUAUUUUAGUGCAGGAUUUUCAAAGAUUUUCAAACACAUGUUGUAUAUUCUUUCCAUCAGUAGCUAAAUACCAAUAGCUCUUAUAUUUCUGCUUUAUUUUGGAAGUGCCUGAACUACUUACUCUACUGUGUGAAUCCGAAAUCCCAAUCCAGCAAUCAAGACUAACUACAAAUCAAUGGUGUUGAUGCACUGGGAUGUUCCUGUUGCAGCAUCCUUCUGCAAGGCUGACUGACUGAUAGAAGCUGCAGCCCUUUCCGUGCCCUGAAAGUACCUGAUCUCACCAGCAAUCUUGUUUGGUCUCAUUGUGGUGAGUGCUGAGUGACGGUUGGCACGGUGAACCAAGGAAGGAGCAGAUUAUUAUCUGAAGGAAUAGAAAAAGAGGUGGAUCCCCUCCAAAGUAGUCAGAUCCCUGGUGAACUGGGCAAGUGAUUCCCAACCAGGCUUCAAGUGGGCAGUUUGAAGCUCGUGUGGAGAAAAUGAGCCCCUGAAGUAUUGCAUGCCUGAUGUUGUAUGAUAAUACCAACGGGAUGGCUUACUGCUCAUCACUGCCAACUCAUGGAAACAGGCUUGAAAGAAAUCCUGACAAGACUAACAGAAGAAGUCCACCAGAAGAAAAAAGAAAAUGGUUUCAGAACCAAAAUCUAUCAUUUGUCAUCCCAUCCUUUACAAAAAGAAGAGUUGGCAGAAGAAUUGUUGGCCUAAAUCCAAUAAAUUCCUCAACAAGAGAGGAAAUUUAGGGUAGAUGUUUGGAAAAAAUUAUUUACUCAGAGGGCAGUGAGGCCCUGGCACAGUCUGCUCGAAGGAGAUGUGAGUGCUCCAUUUCUGGAGGUGCUUAAGACCAGGUUAGAUGGGGCCCUGGGAGCCUGAGCCAGUGGGUAGCAGCAACAUGAUCUUUAAGAUUGCUUCCAACUUAAGCCACCCUAUGA